rnacentral:misc_RNA from 1 species
UCCGGUUUGUCACCGGCAGUCUCGCAUGAGUCCCCAACUAAAUGCUGGCAACAUGCGACGGGGGUUGCGCUCGUUGCGGGACUUAACCCAACAUCUCACGACACGAGCUGACGACAGCCAUGCAGCACCUAUGUAAAGGCCCUUUCGGGAAACGUAAUCUCUCACGUCGCCCUCUACAUUUCGAGCCCAGGUAAGGUUCUUCGCGUUGCAUCGAAUUAAACCACAUGCUCCACUGCUUGUGCGGGCCCCCGUCAAUUCUUUUGAGUUUUAACCUUGCGGCCGUACUCCCCAGGCGGUCGACUUCACGCGUUAGCUUCGUUACUGAGAGUGUCAAACCCCCAACAACCAGUCGACAUCGUUUAGGGCGUGGACUAC